rnacentral:rRNA from 1 species
UACGGAGGGUGCAAGCGUUAAUCGGAAUUACUGGGCGUAAAGCGUGCGCAGGCGGUUUGUUAAGUCUGUUGUGAAAUCCCCGAGCUCAACUUGGGAAUUGCAAUGGAUACUGGCAGGCUGGAGUAUGGUAGAGGAAGGUGGAAUUCCCGGUGUAGCAGUGAAAUGCGUAGAGAUCGGGAGGAACACCAGUGGCGAAGGCGGCCGUCUGGACCAGCACUGACACUCAAGCACGAAAGCGUGGGGAGCAAACAGG